rnacentral:ncRNA from 2 species
UGAUUUUGCUGAAAUAAAGGUGCUAUUUUUAUAGCUUAAUAGGGAAUUCGGUGUGAAUCCGAAACUGUCCCCGCAACUGUAAAUGCAGACGAAAUGAGAAAUCCACUGUGCAAGGAGGCUGAAAGGCUUUUGCAUGGGAAGGCUCAAAGUAGGUUGAAGCAUUAGUCAGGAGACCUGCCUUCUAUUUCAACAGUUU